rnacentral:tRNA from 1 species
GGAGGGGUGGCAGAGUGGACGAUUGCACUGGUCUUGAAAACCAGCGAGCCGCAAGGCUCCGUGGGUUCGAAUCCCACCCCCUCCGCCA